rnacentral:lncRNA from 1 species
GGGGCAGUAGCAGGGAAAAGUAUCAAUUGUCAUACUUUAGUAAAUACUUUCCUUAACUGAGUUGUUUGUCAAAGGGCUUGCAAGUAAGCAUUUCAGUUAGAUCCAGACCUUUUGUAUUCAGCGCAUAUGACAAAUACAAUUUGCAAACCAAAACAUGCACCCAGGAGGGGACCUCUAAGAGUUUGGGAAAGCCUGAUUUACAGGACUGCAGAUUUGACCACGGGAAACAUUUCACACUAAAUGUUAUUGGACAGUCAGUAUCAUAUACACUAGGGAUGGGAAACUGAUGGGGUGGGGCUACAUCCAGACAGAGCCAGCUCUAGCCUGUUGGGGGCCCCAAGUGGAAUUGUUGGAACCACUGGUUUAGAUGGCUCAAAUAACAUGCAAUUGUGUCAAAGGCUAUGUAACAAGUAGGUUAUUCACCAUACAUGGUAUCAUUUAGUACAGCAAGUUUGUUUUAUUAAGACAGUUUUAGGGAAAUGGCAACACUUAAAACAAGUUGAGAUCAGGACAAACACAUUACACAAAAUAGUUAAACUGAGGAUUUGACAAAGCGUGAUGUGGUACACUUAAAUUAAGUCAAAAUAAAAAAAUCCAGGUGAGGCAAAUGAAUAACAUUGAAGCAGACUCAUUACACAGAACAUGUUAGCAUAACAUAAUUGGCAGACUUAAUACCACACUUAUGGUAAAGAAAAUCCACACCUUAAUUGUACAACAAAAUAAAUGACUGGUAAGAAACACUGUUUAGUCUCCACAGCUUGUGGUUUCAACCAGCGGUUAGAAUCUAUAACUGUCCAUGAGACCACCAUAUAUUACAGAUAUCACAAGUCUGACUCAAGGAAAGCAUUGAGAAGUUUCCCUCAAAUGGACAUAACGAGUGUAAGACCGCUAGCAAUGCGUCAAAAUCCUCAACACCCAGGUUCAAAUCAGGUCCCACAAUGUGUCCAACUUCCACCCCUGGAAGAAAUAUGAGGGGAACAACUUACUUCACCGACCAGACAAGCCUUACAACAUACACAACUUCUAAAUGGAAAAUUACCAGAAAUAUUGUAGCACAGAAUCUUGAGACAAAGGACACUGGACAUUAAGAAAGAGGUCCGCCCAAGCCUCAUUUCAACCCUGGCUUUACUGUCCUUCCUUGGUGUACCCAUGCUUACAUGACCGCAAGAGCCAAGCCCGAAGGCAUCGCCCCCACAAUUUUAGCAGGGUGCUUUAAAAAGAAGGGAAACACUAUACACAUUGACUACAGAAACUCAAAAUUAACAAAUGGAUAUAUUUUUUAUUUAUUAAGGAUCCCUUUGUUGCAGCCAAGGCAGCAGCUAGUCUUCCUGCAGUGCAGCAACAUUAAGGCAGUUAAAUACACAAUUACAUUUCAUAACACAUGUAGAGAGCCAUGUAUUUUCUUACUACGCACCUCUCGCUCUACAUUGCUGUAGAACUGCUUAACACCCUCUAGUGUAAGCUCUUUUUUGUUCACCAGAAUGCGAAUGGGCUCUCGCAUUAACUUCUCGGUCCCCUCCAGCACACCAGUAGGCAUGGUGGCCGACAGGACGACCUGCACAGCGUUAGAAGAAACACUAGUAAAAAUCACAUCUGGAGGAAAUGCACUCAUCUAAAGUCACUGAUUAAUUGUUGCACUGGGCCUCGAGACAGGAGGUCAACGAACAUUAAGAAAGAGGUUCGGCCACGACUCUUUUCCGGCACAAUGCAAAAUGCUCUCCUUCCACACAAUACUCUGCUAGCAUUAUUGCCUAAACCAAGUGUUACCUGGAUUCUGCAAUUUUAGCACAGUUCUUUUAUAUGGAAGUUAGGUGACUGGGGCAGAGACAAGUCCAUAACGAUUGCCUUGUGGCAACAAGGUUGAACUUUAAUUUUCUACAGCAAGGCUCUAGAAUUGAAUCUGGAACUCAAUACAUAUUUACGAGUAAAAUGAGUAAUAUACAACAGAUGAGGCCUACUUGAACGUGUGCUCAGUGUCUGGACGAUCUCAUAUCGGAUCCUUGAAGCAACGACUCAGCAUCUCAGCUUCUUCCAGGACAAACAUCUUGAUGCUUUAAGUAAUAGAGGGCACAACUUAAAAUCUGCAGUGGUCAAGCCAAACUAAGGUAUCUAAAGCAUGCCAAUGGACAAGUUGGAUAUGAUAUAUAGAAACAUUUUAUUAAUUUACCUCUGCAUUAUUGGCUAAAAGCUUAUUGGCAAGCAUUUCACAGUAAGUUGUAUUUGGCACAUGUGACAAAUACAAUUUCAUUUGAACACAAGUCAGUCAGAUACUUACACUGAUGAGUACUUACACAGGCAUCGCCUGUUAAGCAUAUCAAACACCCGGCCUGGAGAUCCUACCACAGUGUGGGGGACUCAGCCUGCAGCGUCUGCAUCUCGUUGUGGACAUUAGUGCCCCAAUUUAGGCAUUGCAGGCAGCCCCCAUGUAGUCCCCCAAUCCCCUUCUGGAUCUAAGAAAACAGAUCAAACAAAUACCAACGCGUCAUGGUGAUUUGCUCUGGGCACCAAUGUAUUAUACAGGACUCAACAGUUUGAGUGAUCAGUAUAACAGGUUGUCACCAUUAUCAGGUCUGUCCCGAAAGAUGAAAUGCCAUCAUUUCACUCACUUGUUACAGAACAGAAAUCCCCUGCCAAGUAGUCAGGUCAACUUUCAGACCAAUGCAGUCAUGGACGGACUACACCAAUCCUAAAAGAGAUCCACCUCCUUUAACCCAAUUAGCUGAUUUUGCAUGAAGAAAUUUAGUUAGAGAUUGUCCAAAUAUGCCCCCUCUGUCUGAUACACGUAAGUUUCUUGACCUCAGGUACAGCAUACCCGCUGAGCCAGCUCCCUGGUGGGUCCCUUUCUGCAGGAUAGAGAUGGCAAACGUGGCCGUCUUGCCCGUGCCUGACUGGGCGAUGACGUCACAGCCUGUGAACAGAAAAAGGGUUUUAUGAUCAGAAUUUAAAUUAAGUCCCGCUUUGCCCAGUGACAAUUGAUCAGUAAUACUAAAAAGUUUUUCUCCAUUGCUGUCAAUCCCAAAAGAUGGUAUGGCAUCUUGUCACUCAAGAAAGUUCAACUUGCAAUUAUACUGAACCAAAAUAUAAACACAUGUUAAGUUCGUCCCAUGUUUCAUGAGAUGAAAUAAAAUGACAGAAAAUGUCCAUAUGGACAAAACACCUUUCCCUCAAAUUUUGGGCCUAAAUUUGUUUAUAUCUCCAUUAGUGAGCAUUUCUACUUUCCCAAGAUAGCCCAGACAGGUGAGGCAUAUCAAGAAGCUAAUUAAACAGCAUGAUAAUUACAGGUGUACCUUGUGCCAAGGACAAUAGAAGGCCCCAAAUGUGCAGUAUUCAUAGUGGCAGACAUCUCAAAUUGAGUGUGCAAUUAGCAUGCUGACUGCAAGAACAUCAACCAUGGCUGUCGCCAGAUAGAAAAAUUACCACAUCCAGCUAACAGUCCAGGACCCCCACAUCCAGCUUUCUCACUGGUGGGUAUUUCUGUCUGUAAUAAAGCCCUUGUGGGCUGGGCCUGGUUCCCAAGUGAGUGGGCCUAUACCCUUCCACCCAUGGCUACACUCCUGCCCAGUCAUGUGAAAUCCAUAGAUUAGGGCCUAAUUAAUAAAAAAAAAAUGUAAUUUACUUCUAUGAACUCUUAACUUCUUUGGGAUGGGGAAGUAUUUUCACGGCCGGAUAAAAAACACACGAUUUAAUCUGGUUACUACUCCUGCCCAGAAACUAGAAUAUGCAUAUAAUUAGUAGAUUUGGAUAGAAAACUCUGAAGUUUCUAAAAAUGUUUGAAUGGUGUCUGUGAGUAUAACAGAACUCAUGGCAGGCCAAAACCUGAGAAUAUUACAUACAGGAAGUGCUGACAAUUUGUUGUCCUUCUGUUGCAUCUCUAUCAAAAAUACAGCAUCUGUGCUAUAACGUGACAUUUAAGGCUUCCAUUGGCUCUCUAAAGCCACUAGAAAGUGGAAUGGGGUGUCUGCUGUCUCUGGGCAAAGGACAGCAGCAGAAUUUGUAAGUGGUCAGCCUGGGGACAGUGAGACAGAUGCGUGUUCACGAGACUUCUCAAUUUUUUUCUUUCAGCCUUUAAAUGAAUACAAUGUUGCCCGGUUGGGAUAUUAUUGCUAUUUUACGAGAAAAGUUGCAUAAAAAUUGAUUUUAAACAGCGUUUGACAUGCUUCUAAGUACGGUUAUGGAGUAUUUUGAUUUUUUUGGUCAUGGAACGCACGUCACCCUUCGGAUAGUGACCUGAACACACGAACAAAAUGGAGCUAUUUGAAUAUAACUAUUGAUUAUUUGGAACCAAAACAACAUUUGUUGUUGAAGUAGAAGUCCUGGGAGUGCAUUCUGACGAAGAACAGCAAAGGUAAUCACAUUUUACUAAUAGUAAUUUUGAGUUUAGUGAGCCGUGAUGGCCGAGCUAUGUACUCAGAAUAUUGCAAAUGUGCUUUCGCCGAAAAGCCAUUUUAAAAAUCGGACAUAGCGAUUGCAUAAACGAGUUCUGUAUCUAUAAUUCUUAAAAUAAUUAUGUAUUUUGUCAACGUUUAUCAUGAGUAAUUUAGUAAAUUCACCGGAAGUUUUCAGUGGGUAUGCUAGUUCUGAACAUCACAUGCUAAUGUAAAAAGCUUAAACAAAACAUGCAUGUAUGGUAUAACAAGGUCCUAGGAGUGUCAUGUGAUGAAGAUUGAAGGUUAGUGCUGCAUUUAGCUGUGGUUUGGGUUUAUGUGACAUAUGCUUGCUUGGAAAAUGGCUGUGAUUAUUUGUCUAUGUACUCUCCUAACAUAAUCUAAUGUUUUGCUUUCGCUGUAAAGCCUUUUUGAAAUCGGAAAAUGUGGUUAGAUUAACCAGUCUUAUAUUUAAAAUGGUGUAAAAUAGUUGAUUGUUUGAGAAAAUUGAAUUGUGGUAUUUUAGUUGGUUUUGUAUUUCGUGCCGUGCCAUUGGCUGUUGGCUAGGGGUUCCGCAGGCGGAACGUCUGUCCUCAACAAGUUAAUAAAAUCUUACAAAUUGUCACGUUUAUAUUUAUUGCUAUCAACAAGCCAUUGAUUUGCAUACCUUUGAUACAAGGAAUGACUGCCCUCUUGAAUGGCGUCUCAAAACCAAACGCAUUGGAAUGGGUCCUUCUGGGCCAUGUCAUCGAAGUUGUCCGUAAUCUUGUUCCAGGUGCUCUGCACAAUAAGAGUAUUCU